GCUGGUAUCCAGAGCCUGAGGUGUUGUGGCUGGACGGUGAGGGAAACCUCCUCUCUGCUGGACCUACAGAGACAGUCAGAGGUCCUGAUGACCUCUAUACUGUCAGCAGCAGAGUGACUGUGGAGAAGAGACACAGCAACAGCUUCACCUGUAGAGUCCAACAGAACAAAACCAACCAGACCAGAGAGACACACAUACAUGUUCCAGAUGAUUCCUUUACGACACCUUCGAGUUCCAGUUCACCUGCUUCCAUCUUCGUUGGUUCAGUUGUUGGCAUCAUAUCUAUUGCUGUAGCUGUCUUUGCUGUGUGGAAAUGCAUACGAAAAAAGAUCAAGACUGAAACAAACCAAGGAGCCAGUGAUGCAUCAGGGAAAAGAGAAAACCAAUCUAACAGCUCUGAAGACCAGCCUCUCACUGAAGGAGGAGAAGAGACGGAGCAGACCAGGACACAAAAUAAGAGUUCACAUGCAGAGUCUGGACCUGGGAGAGAUGAAGAGGAAAGGCAAACUCGGGACUCAGUUUCCAGUAGAGGAAGAAAUAGAAACAGAGCAGCUAAUGGCAGAGGGAAAAGUAAAACAUGAUCCAGGCAAGAAAGACAUAAAAACUUUACAUGAAGAGGAAAAGAAAAGACACGGACAUCCUGUGACACUGACA